rnacentral:rRNA from 1 species
GUGUACGUACAAGCAGUGGGAGCACGCUUAGGCGUGUGACUGCGUACCUUUUGUAUAAUGGGUCAGCGACUUAUAUUCUGUAGCAAGGUUAACCGAAUAGGGGAGCCGAAGGGAAACCGAGUCUUAACUGGGCGUUAAGUUGCAGGGUAUAGACCCGAAACCCGGUGAUCUAGCCAUGGGCAGGUUGAAGGUUGGGUAACACUAACUGGAGGACCGAACCGACUAAUGUUGAAAAAUUAGCGGAUGACUUGUGGCUGGGGGUGAAAGGCCAAUCAAACCGGGAGAUAGCUGGUUCUCCCCGAAAGCUAUUUAGGUAGCGCCUCGUGAAUUCAUCUCCGGGGGUAGAGCACUGUUUCGGCAAGGGGGUCAUCCCGACUUACCAACCCGAUGCAAACUGCGAAUACCGGAGAAUGUUAUCACGGGAGACACACGGCGGGUGCUAACGUCCGUCGUGAAGAGGGAAACAACCCAGACCGCCAGCUAAGGUCCCAAAGUCAUGGUUAAGUGGGAAACGAUGUGGGAAGGCCCAGACAGCCAGGAUGUUGGCUUAGAAGCAGCCAUCAUUUAAAGAAAGCGUAAUAGCUCACUGGUCGAGUCGGCCUGCGCGGAAGAUGUAACGGGGCUAAACCAUGCACCGAAGCUGCGGCAGCGACGCUUAUGCGUUGUUGGGUAGGGGAGCGUUCUGUAAGCCUGUGAAGGUGUGCUGUGAGGCAUGCUGGAGGUAUCAGAAGUGCGAAUGCUGACAUAAGUAACGAUAAAGCGGGUGAAAAGCCCGCUCGCCGGAAGACCAAGGGUUCCUGUCCAACGUUAAUCGGGGCAGGGUGAGUCGACCCCUAAGGCGAGGCCGAAAGGCGUAGUCGAUGGGAAACAGGUUAAUAUUCCUGUACUUGGUGUUACUGCGAAGGGGGGACGGAGAAGGCUAUGUUGGCCGGGCGACGGUUGUCCCGGUUUAAGCGUGUAGGCUGGUUUUCCAGGCAAAUCCGGAAAAUCAAGGCUGAGGCGUGAUGACGAGGCACUACGGUGCUGAAGCAACAAAUGCCCUGCUUCCAGGAAAAGCCUCUAAGCAUCAGGUAACAUCAAAUCGUACCCCAAACCGACACAGGUGGUCAGGUAGAGAAUACCAAGGCGCUUGAGAGAACUCGGGUGAAGGAACUAGGCAAAAUGGUGCCGUAACUUCGGGAGAAGGCACGCUGAUAUGUAGGUGAAGUCCCUCGCGGAUGGAGCUGAAAUCAGUCGAAGAUACCAGCUGGCUGCAACUGUUUAUUAAAAACACAGCACUGUGCAAACACGAAAGUGGACGUAUACGGUGUGACGCCUGCCCGGUGCCGGAAGGUUAAUUGAUGGGGUCAGCGCAAGCGAAGCUCUUGAUCGAAGCCCCGGUAAACGGCGGCCGUAACUAUAACGGUCCUAAGGUAGCGAAAUUCCUUGUCGGGUAAGUUCCGACCUGCACGAAUGGCGUAAUGAUGGCCAGGCUGUCUCCACCCGAGACUCAGUGAAAUUGAACUCGCUGUGAAGAUGCAGUGUACCCGCGGCAAGACGGAAAGACCCCGUGAACCUUUACUAUAGCUUGACACUGAACAUUGAGCCUUGAUGUGUAGGAUAGGUGGGAGGCUUAGAAGUGUGGACGCCAGUCUGCAUGGAGCCGACCUUGAAAUACCACCCUUUAAUGUUUGAUGUUCUAACGUUGACCCGUAAUCCGGGUUGCGGACAGUGUCUGGUGGGUAGUUUGACUGGGGCGGUCUCCUCCUAAAGAGUAACGGAGGAGCACGAAGGUUGGCUAAUCCUGGUCGGACAUCAGGAGGUUAGUGCAAUGGCAUAAGCCAGCUUGACUGCGAGCGUGACGGCGCGAGCAGGUGCGAAAGCAGGUCAUAGUGAUCCGGUGGUUCUGAAUGGAAGGGCCAUCGCUCAACGGAUAAAAGGUACUCCGGGGAUAACAGGCUGAUACCGCCCAAGAGUUCAUAUCGACGGCGGUGUUUGGCACCUCGAUGUCGGCUCAUCACAUCCUGGGGCUGAAGUAGGUCCCAAGGGUAUGGCUGUUCGCCAUUUAAAGUGGUACGCGAGCUGGGUUUAGAACGUCGUGAGACAGUUCGGUCCCUAUCUGCCGUGGGCGCUGGAGAACUGAGGGGGGCUGCUCCUAGUACGAGAGGACCGGAGUGGACGCAUCACUGGUGUUCGGGUUGUCAUGCCAAUGGCACUGCCCGGUAGCUAAAUGCGGAAGAGAUAAGUGCUGAAAGCAUCUAAGCACGAAACUUGCC